UGGACAGGGGAUAAGACAGGCCAGGGGCAAUCCAGCCCCAGCUCUGUGGCCUAAGAAGGGCGUCUCUGUGUGUCACCAUGGCCUGGAUCCCCAUCCUCCUCGUGCUCCUCUGUCACUGCACAGGUUCCCUGUCCCAGCCUGUCGUGACUCAGCCAGCCUCCCUCUCUGCAUCUCUGGGAGCCACAGCCAGACUCACCUGCACCCUGAGCAGGGACAUCAGUGUUGGAGGCUACUACAUAUACUGGUACCAACAGAAUCCAGGGAGCCCUCCCCGGUAUCUCCUGUACUACUACUCCAACUCAGAUAAGCACCAGGGCCCUGGGGUCCCCAGCCGCUUCUCUGGGUCCAAAGAUGCCUCGGCCAAUGCAGGGCUUCUGCUCAUCUCUGGGCCGCAGCCUGAGGACGAGGCUGACUAUUACUGUGCUACAGGUUAUGGCAGUGGGAGCAGCUACCGUUACUCACAGUGACUCAGAUAAUGAGGA